CUAUGAGGCUGCAGUCUGUACUGG
rnacentral:piRNA from 1 species